GACGUAGGGCGCGAGCGUUGUCCGGAAUUAUUGGGCGUAAAGGGCUCGUAGGCGGUUUGUCGCGUCGGGAGUGAAAACCCAGGGCUUAACUCUGGGCUUGCUUUCGAUACGGGCAGACUAGAGGUAUGCAGGGGAGAACGGAAUUCCUGGUGUAGCGGUGAAAUGCGCAGAUAUCAGGAGGAACACCGGUGGCGAAGGCGGUUCUCUGGGCAUUACCUGACGCUGAGGAGCGAAAGUGUGGGGAGCGAACAGG
rnacentral:rRNA from 1 species